rnacentral:tRNA from 1 species
GUGGGCAUAGUUUAAUAAAACACUAGA